GGUCUUGUGGUGUAGUGGUUAUCACAUCUGCUUUGCACGCAGAAUUUCGCCGGUUCGAUCCCGGCCGAAACCU
rnacentral:tRNA from 1 species